rnacentral:rRNA from 1 species
AUGGCGACCGGCGCACGGGUGAGUAACACGUAUCCAACCUGCCGAUGACUCGGGGAUAGCCUUUCGAAAGAAGAUUAAUACCCGAUGGCAUAGUUCUUCCGCAUGGUAGAACUAUUAAAGAAUUUCGGUCAUCGAUGGGGAUGCGUUCCAUUAGCUUGUUGGCGGGGUAACGGCCCACCAAGGCAUCGAUGGAUAGGGGUUCUGAGAGGAAGGUCCCCCACAUUGGAACUGAGACACGGUCCAAACUCCUACGGAAGGCAGCAG